rnacentral:rRNA from 1 species
GGGGAAUAUUGGACAAUGGGCGCAAGCCUGAUCCAGCCAUGCCGCGUGAGUGACGAAGGCCUUAGGGUUGUAAAGUUCUUUUGGCGGGGACGAUAAUGACGGUACCCGCAGAAUAAGCCCCGGCUAACUUCGUGCCAGCAGCCGCGGUAAUACGAAGGGGGCUAGCGUUGUUCGGAAUUACUGGGCGUAAAGCGCACGUAGGCGGAUUUGUUAGUCAGGGGUGAAAUCCCGGGGCUCAACCUCGGAACUGCCUUUGAUACUGCAAGUCUUGAGUCCGAUAGAGGUGAGUGGAAUUCCUAGUGUAGAGGUGAAAUUCGUAGAUAUUAGGAAGAACACCAGUGGCGAAGGCGGCUCACUGGAUCGGUACUGACGCUGAGGUGCGAAAGCGUGGGGAGCAAGC